CGUAGGGUGCAAGCGUUAAUCGGAAUUACUGGGCGUAAAGCGUGCGCAGGCGGCUUUGCAAGACAGAUGUGAAAUCCCCGGGCUUAACCUGGGAACUGCAUUUGUGACUGCAUGGCUGGAGUGCGGCAGAGGGGGAUGGAAUUCCGCGUGUAGCAGUGAAAUGCGUAGAUGUGCGGAGGAACACCGAUGGCGAAGGCAAUCCCCUGGGCCUGCACUGACGCUCAUGCACGAAAGCGUGGGGAGCAAACAGGAUUAGAUACCCUGGUAGUCCACGCCCUAAACGAUGUCAACUGGUUGUUGGACGGCUUGCUGUUCAGUAACGAAGCUAACGCGUGAAGUUGACCGCCUGGGGAGUACGGCCGCAAGGUUG
rnacentral:rRNA from 1 species